GCUGCUCAUUUUUUGGGAGGUACUUUAGCAAACUUUCAUGCACCAUAUUGUGGUGACCCAGGUUCAAGUACCCAUUGUGCCCCACAAGCUUGCUGCAUCAAUGAGCCUCAGGGCACACAAUCUGGCCUAUGUUCUCUUGGGUGAGUGAGACGACUGGGUUUCUCCCUCUCCUGUCGCCCACAACAUACGCCCGCAGGCCUGCAGCCAGUUAGCAGCAAGUACUGCUCUCCAUUCUGAUGAUGAACUGUGGAACAUUGUACUCCAUGCCUGACAGCUCUCUCCUUAAAGCUGGGAAGGGAUUUUUUGGCACCCAUUCCUUUAUUUGGAGCAUAGCAGAUUUGCAUAUUGAGUAUGCUAUAAACACUGUUAUUUGACCUUGCUUCAUGCAAAUAAUCCUUAGUGCUGUAAUGGUGAAGAGAACUGUUCUUAACCAUUUUCCUGCUGUUGUCAGUAUACCUGCUGCUCUCCGUCUUUUCCUGCCAAUUCAGCAAUUAACUGGCAGCUCCACUCCUCGGUCUACUUGUUCAGGCUGGAACAUGUAAAAAAAUACAUGCUUUCUGUUGCUCUUAGUUCCAGAAUGUGAAAAAAGAGGAAAAACGUUUCCAGGACUACAACAUACAGAUGAAAUGAGGGGACUCGAAACUGAACUCAGCAAUACUAAGACAAGUUGGAGAGAAUCAAGUCAGCUCGUGUGAGUAGUCACGUUUCAAUAUGUGGGAACCAUAUGAACUCUUUAAGGGUUAAUUUAGCACUGCUGUCUUUACUGUGAAUGAAUGCUGCUCAGUUUCCUGCAUUGGAUCGCUUCUGCUCUCUAGCCUGGGGUCCUAUGGUCCCACCAGUCGCGGUGACCUCAUCCCCAUCGAAUGCUACAGAUACCAUUUCUCAAAUGCUUCUGAAGACAGUUCUUCCGCCUCACACAGAAGGCAUUUGAAAGGUUUCCGGCCUCUAAUCUGCAACAGGCGAUGUAGCGGGAUAUGUAAAAAAAUGCAGAGAUUGUUGAGAGGAGGUGCUGGGUCGGCUGUGUUCCUCAGAACAUCUACAGAAGUCUGCUGGCAGCCAUUGCAGUGGCGAAGAGAAGAGAAAUUAUGGUCUGGAGUUCGAGCCCUGCUUGGCCGGCGCCCUGUCUGGGGUGUGUCCCUUCCCCCUCCAGCCUUGCACCCUGCGUUGCCGGGUUAGGCUCCGGUUUGCCGUGACCCUGCUCGGGACAAGCGGUUUCAGACUCUGUGUGUGUGUGUGUGUGUGUGUGUGUGUGUGUGUGUGUGUGUGUGUGUGUGUGUGUGUGUAAAUAACUUCUUAUCCAGUGCAGGGUCACCGAAGCCUGAAGUCUUCACAAGAAGCAUAUGGCGUAAUGUGGGUGUUUCAUAAAACAAGGUUAUGAAAGAGAUGCUUCUUUGAAACAAAUGAUCAUCUGGCAAACCAUAAGGCAGAUCUCCUGUAAAUUCCACUAUCCACAGAUGAAGGAAUGGAAGCUAUAACAGCAAGGCAUCUGAGCAAACUGUUUCUCCUUGGAAUAUGAAGACUGUACUAUUUCAACUUGCACUUAGCAGCUGAUGGUCUGACUGCGAAAGAGUAAGAGAGCGAUUGCACAUGCUUCCAAAAGUUCCCUGCAGCUCAUAGAUUUUCCCCGUUCCUCAGCCAUCCAAAUUAGGAUCUCUGCCCUCAGAAGGAGGAAUGUGCAGCUCUCAUUUCCGUGGUGUUAAAAGGUCCGGGAGAACACCAAAGUCUGGUGACAGGCGGCCUGAGUGACUAAUAAAUUUGAUGAGGUCAUUUGUUCCGGAAUGAGG
rnacentral:lncRNA from 1 species